AUUGAACGCUGGCGGCAUGCCUUACACAUGCAAGUCGAACGGCAGCACGGGAGCAAUCCUGGUGGCGAGUGGCGAACGGGUGAGUAAUAUAUCGGAACGUGCCCAGUCGUGGGGAUAACGUAGCGAAAGCUACGCUAAUACCGCAUACUAUCUAUGGAUGAAAGCAGGGGAUCGCAAGACCUCGCGCGAUUGGAGCGGCCGAUAUCAGAUUAGGUAGUUGGUGAGGUAAAGGCUCACCAAGCCGACGAUCUGUAGCUGGUCUGAGAGGACGACCAGCCACACUGGGACUGAGACACGGCCCAGACUCCUACGGGAGGCAGCAGUGGGGGAAUUUUUGGGACAAUGGGCGCAAGCCUGAUCCAGCAAUGCCGCGUGCAGGAUGAAGGCCU
rnacentral:rRNA from 1 species